GAUGAACGCUGGCGGCGUGCCUAAUACAUGCAAGUCGAGCGAACAGACGAGGAGCUUGCUCCUCUGACGUUAGCGGCGGACGGGUGAGUAACACGUGGAUAACCUACCUAUAAGACUUGGAUAACUUCGGGAAACCGGAGCUAAUACCGGAUAAUAUAUUGAACCGCAUGGUUCAAUAGUUAAAGACGGUUUUGCUGUCACUUAUAGAUGGAUCCGCGCCGCAUUAGCUAGUUGGUAAGGUAACGGCUUACCAAGGCAACGAUGCGUAGCCGACCUGAGAGGGUGAUCGGCCACACUGGAACUGAGACACGGUCCAGACUACUAAGGGAGGCAGCAGUAGGGAAUCUUACGCAAUGGGCGAAAGCAUGACGGAGCAACGCCGCGUGAGUGAUGAAGGUCUUCGGAUCGUAAAACUCUGUUAUUAGGGAAGAACAAAUGUGUAAGUAAAUAUGCACGUCUUGACGGUACCUAAUCAGAAAGCCACGGCUAACUACGUG
rnacentral:rRNA from 1 species